GUCGAUUUGUUUAAACGCAGAACUACACUGGCAGUAGCGCAAUAUCUUGUUAUCAUACUCCUCGUAGUCGCUCCCUUUCUUUUGGCCUCAUUACCUUUUAUACACUCCUUUCUGUUUGUUUUAUUCUUACUCCCUUCAUCUCUCCAGUUCUCCAUCUCCCUGUGCGUUACUUUCUCCUCCUCAUAACUGUAGUGACCAUCCCCCCCGCUCUUUUCUUUUGCUGUGGGAGGUGAAGGUGUGUAAGAAUAAUUCAAAUGAAGGGAGAACAACAGAAGUUAGAAGCAGGGCAGACACUUGAAGCAGUAGUCGUUGCAGACAAGAGGAGGAGCAUCAAGGACAGUCAUUUUCCUAGCCAGUCAGUCGUUAAGUUAGUCAGUCAUUCUGAACAGACUGUACCCUCACAGUGGCUUCCUCUUAACUCUAUUUCAUGGAUGUAGAGGGAGAGGUAGCACUCACUUUGCAAAACAUGAAAGAACACUUUAUGUGGAAAAGUUCCCUUUGGAUUCAUUUUGUUUUCGUGCUCAGUGUCAAAAUAUUGACACAGGAGGGAGAAAGCAAACUGUGUUUUACUCUCAUGUAUCAGACUUUUUGUCAUUUUGAAUUAUUGAUAAUCCUAUAAGGCGGGUUGUGCUGGACACGAGGCUAUCCUCAGGUCUUUCUUUUACACAUCUGAAGUGGUAGUACCUGUGGAACUGGCAAUCUGUAGCUAGCAAUCUAAAGCUCUUUUUUUGUUACAACUGUAGCGUUGCUUAGGGCUAAACAACAGACUGAGCAGAUUUUUGUAAAACACCUGGCCCCAGGCCUUGCAGGCCUUUCAAAGUGUUUGGCUAAUGGCAAAUUGUAGAGGCUGUAGAUGGCUGUGUUGGGACCAAAAUAAUCAUAUGUAGCAGUGUUGGGAAAAAGACAAAGAGGUAGAAUAUGUAAGGUGUGGACUAAAGGUGACCUUUCAUAUGAUAUGAGCAAACAGUUACAGUGCUAAUCCAUACAGCUCCACUAGCAGCUACAUUAUCGUUUUGUAUACUGUUUAUUGCUGAAAAUACUUGUGACACAGUAACCAAAAUAAUAAAAUAUCUCACUACUGUACAGCUGUGCAUCUUAAUUUUCUUUCAAAGUCACAGCAAAUCAGUGAACUUCUGUCACGUUCGUACAAUAUAAUAUUAUAUAACAAUAUAAUAAAUCUAAUAUUUAUAUUGUACGAACGUGAUAAUUAUGUAUAUUGUAUAUUGUAAUAAAGUGAUAUUAUAUUCUACAAACAUGAAAAGCAUAUUGUUAGAACAAUAAACUUUUCACCUUAUAACGUGAUAUAGCUCUAUUUUUCUUUUGCCUGGGUGGCAGCUCUAUGCUCCUGUAAUUUGGUUAUCAAAAUACGUAACUUAAUUAAUUAUAUUGUGACGUACUUUAGCCUUUUCUUAUUAUUCUGCCUUCUCAGAAAGGGAAAAUUUUUUACAAAUAAAAUUGUUUACACUUGUUAUAUACAAUAACUAUCAAAACCUAUUUACAUUUAAUUUGACUUUCACAGAAAUCCCACCUCUCUUUCUGGCUACAGAGCACUUACUUACCAAGGUUAGAAACAAAGUACAGUUAUGCUUUAUUAAUAUCACUAAUUACAAUGUUCCACAUUUCCUUGCCUUUUUAGUAAUUUUAAGGCUUUUUAGAGUUUUUUGGGUUGUUUGGCAGUAAUGUUUCUGCCUAUUUAUUUCAGCCCAUGAAAUCGAAUGCAGAUCUUCCUGAGGUAAGAUUUAUGUCACGGUCCCUGUGUCUGGUUGGCCCACGCUGGCUACAGGUUUUGUUGUUGUUAGUUUUUGUUUUCUUUGUCUCUCCUCCUCCUCUCUGCCUGGGUGGAGCUCGUUACGGGCUCUCGCUCUUGGCCCACACACCUGUGUGAUUGUGUCCACCUGCUGCUGAUCUGGCUGAUUUCCCCAGCUGCUAUUUAAGGCAGUGGCACUGAGCAGCUCACCGCUGGAACGUUGAACCUCCUGAGUUCGUGCUCUCGGCAUUUUCAAAAAGAAUCCCUUGUAUGUAUUUUUCUGUGGAACUAACCUUAACUUCUGUGUGUAGAUAUCCCUCUUCUGGACCAAAUCACGGGACCUGCCCAAGUGUGGCAGCGUGUGUGGAGUUUUGGAGCGAGUGCGGCUGAACAGGAGUGCGUGUGUGCGGAGGAGCUGUGGCGGUGAUUGUGUGGAAGAGGAAGCGUGUGUGUGGAUUCCCCCCCCUUCUCUCCCUAGAGCCCUGGACCCCCCUCCCAACUCACUGUACAUAUAUAUAGCACUAAGGUGAUCCCUGUUGUGAAUAAAUCUCCUUUUGUUCUCUGCGAAAGAACUGUCUGUGUGUGAGUCCGUUCAGUAGCCAUGACAAUUUACAUAAAUCUAAGUAAUUUGUUUGUCGUUAUCAUUAAUGUUGUUGCUGUUGUUGUUUUUGUGCAAUUUAAAAUCAUAUAAACCUAGCAAGCAUCAGACAGCACUGUGCCUAACCUAAACAGAUUCAUGCUUUAUUCACAUAUAUUAUAUGUAAUUAUAUAUACUUGUACAUUGUACCUAGGGUUGCAGCCACUUGGCCCUGCCCCAUUGUUCUGACAGCCCUGAUUGUACUUAUAAACUGCAUCUGAACAGGGAACAGUCUGCCACAUUAAUGUAUUUUUUAAGUGACUUGUUUCUAAUACAUGGAUUUUUCUCUUACAGAUGUCAAAGUCUCAACCUCAUGUUGCCCUCCCCCAUCCUCCUAAAGUGGUGUCGGAGAGGCGGAUGCUGUCCAAGAUAAAGACAAUGUUGGAUAACACCUCCCACCCACUCCAUGACAUGUUGGUCAGUCACAGGAGCUCGUUCAGUGAGAGACUGAGAUUACCGAAAAGCACCACUGAACGACACAGGAAAUCAUUCCUGCCUGUGGCCAUCUCCCUGUACAACGCAUCCACUUAACACACUGUUUGCUGCAACAACUACACAUGUUUCUUUUCCAAAUAUUUAUUUAUAAGUGACUUAUGUAUGUAUGUAUGUAUAUAUAUGUAUAUAUUGUACUAUUCUUAGUUAGCGUAUUGUCUGUCUUGUCUUAAUGUUGGUUUAAAAUGGAGCACUGUAACAAAAAAUAAUUUCCCCCAGGGAUCAAUAAAGUAUUCUGAUUCUG
ensembl:lncRNA